AUCUUGCGCAAUGGACGAAAGUCUGACGCAGCAACUCCGCGUGGAGGAUGAAUGUCUUCGGAUUGUAAACUCCUUUUAUAUAGGAAGAACGGCUUCUGUGCUAAUCAGCAGGAGAUUGACGGUACUAUAUGAAUAAGUCACGGCUAAAUACGUGCCAGCAGCCGCGGUAAUACGUAUGUGGCGAGCGUUAUUCGGAAUCACUGGGCGUAAAGAGUACGUAGGCUGGUAAAUAAGUCAGAGGUGAAAGUUUUGGGCUCAACCCAGAAUCUGCCUUUGAAACUGUUUACCUUGAAUAUGCGAGGGGAAGACGGAAUUUCUGGUGUAGCGGUGGAAUGCGUAGAUAUCAGGAAGAACACCGGUGGCGAAGGCGGUCUUCUGGCACAAUAUUGACGCUGAGGUACGAAAGCGUGGGGAGCGAACAGGAUUAGAUACCCGAGUAGUC
rnacentral:rRNA from 1 species